AUGGCUCAGAACGAACGCUGGCGGCAGGCCUAACACAUGCAAGUCGAGCGCGCCCUUCGGGGUGAGCGGCGGACGGGUUAGUAACGCGUGGGAACGUACCCUUUGGUAGGGAAUAGCCACUGGAAACGGUGAGUAAUACCCUAUGAGCCCUUCGGGGGAAAGAUUUAUCGCCAAAGGAUCGGCCCGCGUUAGAUUAGGUAGUUGGUGGGGUAAUGGCCUACCAAGCCUACGAUCUAUAGCUGGUUUUAGAGGAUGAUCAGCAACACUGGGACUGAGACACGGCCCAGACUCCUACGGGAGGCAGCAGUGGGGAAUCUUGGACAAUGGGGGCAAACCCCUGAUCCAGCCAUGCCGCGUGAGUGAAGAAGGCCUUAGGGUCGUAAAGCUCUUUCGCCUGUGAAGAUAAUGACGGUAGCAGGUAAAGAAACCCCGGCUAACCCCGUGCCAGCCGCCGC
rnacentral:rRNA from 1 species